AGUCUACUUGAUCGUUAGCCACGUUGAUAAAAGUGCCAAUCGGCCACUUUGGUACAAAGCAAUUAUAUGUUGGCUAAAAUAAUUCAAGUGGACAUAGCAAUUUUUCUACCGCCAAUACUGGAAUUGAUGUAUUGGAUAAGACUACCAGGUUUACCAGAAGGCUAUUACUCCGAUUUUUUGCUUCGUGCCAUCAGGCAAGCUAUUGGCCUGGUUGUGAAACUAGACACUCACAUAGACUUUGCCAGGAGGGGUAAGUUUGCGCGCUUAGCUCUUUGUAUUGAUCUUAAGAAACAGUUGGUACGCAAAGUAAAGAUCAAUGGUCGGACAUAGCGUGUUGAAUAUGAAUCAUUGUUGAACGUUUGUUUUAACUGUGGUCUCUAUGGCCAUAGUGCCGAAGGAUGUAAGAGUAUGAAAUCUUCAUCAUAUGAUGUUGGUAAUGGUAGUGCUUCUGUGGUUGAUGAAAUAUCAGAUCUAAAAAAAAAAGAGUUGAAGAAGAGAACUUUGGUCCAUGGAUGUUGGUCAAACGUCGGCAAAGAGGGAGAGGUCGGAGCAGCGGGGAAACAAGGAACGUAAUUCAGGGAAUGAUUCCAGAACAAUCAUGAUUUGCUGUAGUGGAGGAGAAUCUGGUUAAUGAUGAUGGCGCAUUUAAUGGCUUUGACAAACCGACAGAAAAAAUAAAUAUAAAUGAAAAUGAGUAUAAGGGUGUCAUCCAUCAAAGGAUCAGCGGGCCCAAGAAGAAAUAAGUCGAAUGCUAAAGGUAAAGGAUUUUUGUUAGGGAAUGGGUCCAAAGUGCGCUUUAAAAUUUUGAGGCUUAUCAAUAAGAAUAUUGGGUCUUCAACUGGAAUGGGUCAGAGACCUACUAAUGUUAAUUUUGGCCUGAACACCAACAAGGCUGCUGGAGGUGAGCAAAUCAUGGGUUUCCAGCCAAUUACUUUAACAGCCAAGUUAGAUCAAACCAAGCAUCAGGCGUUCCAGGCAAGUAAACAGUGAGAAAGAGAACAGGGGGUUGCUCAAGCAUAAAAUGGGUAUAGAGUCGGGCAAGGAGAAUGGGGUUUUUCGUUUUAGGGUAACUUCCAAUGGCAUUCUUCAAGGGCCGCGAAGUCAGUUAUCGGCCGAAGGGAUUGCCCAACAUCAUAAAUCGCCAGAUGAUUCUUUGAAUAAAUCGAUAGUUGCUACGGUGGAUUUAGCGGCAGCUGUGGAGGGUAUAUCUCUGGGUUGGAGCAGAGACAUGCAAUCACGGAGACAAUAAUCGAAAAUUCGGAAGAUGAUGAGUAGAUGGGUACUACAGUUCCUACUAACGCCAAGGAUUAAAGCUAAUAGUUUUGCCGCUGGAAUAUGGAUUCUGUGGAAUGCGACGGUUUUAGUUGAUAUUCUGGCUAUUCAUCUUCAAAUGGUCCACAUGAAAGUUUGCAGCGAGAUUAACUCUUCUAGUUUCCUAUGCACAGUGGUUUAUGCUAGCCCGCAACAAACGAAGAGGAAGGAUCUCUGGUAUAACUUGGAUGUCAUGGAAAAUUCAAUUUCAGAAUCGUGGCUGAUUGUUGGUGAUUUUAACUCAGUGUUACAUGAUUCGGAGAGGGUAGGAGGUGUUGUUCAGGAAAGACUUGGUUGUAAGUGGUUUCAGUCUUUCCUGUUUGACAAUAAGAUUUGGGAUUUGGGCUACAACAGUCCUCAGUUCACAUGGAGUAGAAGGAACCUGUCUCAGAGACUUGAUCGGCAAUUCAGAGUGGGACUUCUUUGCGCCAAACUGUACGGUCCAUAAUCUUCAUCGGCUGAAAUCCGACCAUUGUCCAAUUUUGGUCUCUCUAAGCCCGAUUGUUCAAAGGGAUUGUCGUUCGUUUCAGUGUCUAGCUAGUUGGAUGCUACAUGCCGAGUUUAAAGACCUUGUGAGGAAAACUUGGAGAAAUUAUAUAGGGAUUGAAAGGAAUUUGGAAUGUUUUCAAAAUGUGGUGCAAGAUUGGAAUAAAUGAUUUUACGAAAACAUCUUUGUGCGUAAAAGGAAACUUAUUUCUGAAUUGAACAGGGUGCAAAAAAUUCUAGAUUUAAUGACCUCGUCGUGUCUCCAUGAACGUGAAUUAAACUUAGGCCAAGAGGUUGAAGAAAUUCUGAAUCAUGAAGAACUAAUGUGUUUCCAAAAAUCUAGAUCGAAAUGGCUUAAAUAUGGAGAUAGAAAUACAAGUUAUUUCCAUAGACGCACUCUAGCAAGAUGAAGAAGGAAUAAGAUUAAAGGGUUGAAGGUUCGAAAUGAUGAAUGGUGUUUUGACGAUGAUUCUUUGAAACAACAUGUGGUGAACUACUUCAAAGACCUAUAUGCAACAGAGUAUCCGAUCAAUGGUUAUCCUCCUAGCCAAGGUAUGUUCCCACUGAUACCCACGGCUGAUAUGGAAUGUUUGAUGUUGUCUAUUUCUGAUGAUGAAAUACGCAGAGCUGUUUUUAGUAUGGCACCCUUGAAGGCUCCAGGAAUUGACAAGUUCCAUGCUAAAUUCUAUCGGGAAAAUUGGGAUAAUGUUGGUAGCUCGAUCUGUUCUAUGGUUCGGCAAAUCAUGGGAGGUGCAUCUGUAGAUCCUAUGAUUAAUAGAACUCUGAUUGUUCUAUUGCCAAAAGUCCAAGUCCCGUAGAGAAUAUCUUAAUUUAGGUUGAUUAGCCUAUGUACGAUGGCUUACAAGGUCAUCAUGAAAACAAUUGUAAUUAAUCUGAGGCCUUUGAUGAUCAAGCUCACUAAUCAGAACCAAGCUAGCUUUGUUGCAGGGAGGUUUAUCAUUGAUAAUAUUGUUGUUGCUCAGGAAGUUGUACACUCUAUGAAAGGUUUCAAAGGUAGAAAAUAUGGAAUGGCUUUAAAAAUCAAUUUGGAGAAGGUGUAUGACAGAGUCAGGUGGGAUUUUUUGGAAGACCCACUUUUGAAGUGGGUCCACCAAGACUAUUGGUAUCUGUGAUUAUGAACUGUGUUUAUUCUGUAUCUCUUCAUAUACUAUGGAAUGGUAGGAUCACAGAAAGUUUUUGUCCAACGCACGGUUUGAGACAAGGAGACCGACUGUCUUGUUACUUGUUUGUACUUUGCCUGGAAAGGCUGGAGCAUUUAAUUGAUGAGGCUGUAAGCUAUGGAAGUUGGUCUCCGAUAUUUUCUAUCAAGAGGGGGUCCAACAAUUUCUCACUUAUUUUUUGUCGACGACCUCAUACUUUUCUGUGAAGGCAACAUGGUUCGAGCAAGUCAAGUGAAUGAUAUUCUUCGUACAUUCUAUCAUUUUUCGGGCCAAAGAGUGAAUAGAGAGAAGUCACAGGUUUUCUUCUCACCUAAUACUUCGAGUGAUGUUGCAAAUGGAAUUUUUAGUGAAAUUGGUUUUGCAUUUGUGGACAAUAUUGGGAACUAUCUUGGCAUUCCCUUGUUUCAUACUCAUGUCACGUCUAAUGCUUUUGAAUUUGUGCUUAAAAAAGUUAGAAGUAAAUUAAAUGGUUGGGAAGCAAGUAAACUUUCUUUGGCGGGUAGAAUCACUCUGGUUAAAUAGGUUUUGCGUAGUAUUCCCAAUUACUUCAUGAGUACUAUCUGUAUUCCAGUUUCUGUAUACAGCGAAAUUGAAAACUUAACUCGUAGCUUCAUAUGGGGUUCCGCAUCUCAGUCAAGAAAAGCAGCAUUAGUGUCUUGGGAAAAUUAUUGUCGUCCUAUUAAAUAUGGAGGUCUUGGCCUUAGAAGCUUAAUUACUCAGAAUAAGAUUUUCUUAAUGAAAUUGGGGUUCCAGAUCCUUACUAAUACAGAAGCACCAUGGGACAAUUAUUGAGGAAUAAAUACAGAGUUCAAGGGGUUUUACCGAUGUCCGUAGUAAGGAGUAAUUGUUCGUACAUUUGGAGAUCACUGAUGAAGGUUUGGCCAGAUGUGGUAAGCAAUGUGUUUUGGGCUAUAGAUGAUGGUCGACUCACUAAUUUCUGGAAUGAUAUGUGGGUUAAACAGGUUGACCAACUUAGGGAUCUCUACGUUGGUACUGGGCAUCCAGAUGAUACGCUAUGUGUCUACGAUUUGGUGGCUAAUAGUGGGGCUAGGGAUUGGCCUCGGUUAUCCAGUUUACUUCCUGAGAACAUUGUUAGGGUCAUUUUUUCUAUGAUCCCCCCUGCCUCUGUUACAGGAACAGAUAGACUGGCUUGGAAGUGGAUGUCUAAAGACAAGUUCUCAAGUGCCGAAACUUACAGGUGUUUGUACCAUCUUGUUCGUGGCGUAGACUCUUCCUGUUGGAAAUUAAUUUGGAAAGCCAAAGUGCCUCAAAGAGUACGUGUCUUUCUUUGGAACUUUUGGCAAGACAAAUUACUGACUAAUGGAGAGAGAGCAAGGAGACAUAUGACUAAUGAAAGACAUUGUCCUAGAUGUGGAGAAGUGUUGGAAUCAGGACUUCAUGUAAUUAGAGAUUGCUCUUUUUCAAGAAUAGUAUAGUUGUCUGUAGUACCGGAAAAUGCUCAUUUAUUGUUCUUUUCUAUGCCACUUACUGAUUGGUUGAAGUGGAACUUAAAAAGCAUAAGAGGAUGGGGGUCUGAGAAUUUCGAGUGCAUUCCUUGUUCUCGAUCUUAUGUGGGCUAUUGUGGAAGGAUAGUAGCUUUUUUGUUUUUGCUAAUGGCCAUAAUUGUGGAAAAAAUUUUUGAUACAAGUAUUUUAUGGGCAGGGAGUUAUACAAAUCCAGGUGUAGUUGGGCCACAACUGAAUCCAUCGGCAUCGGACAUUUACUGGUCACCACUUGAGAAUAGCUGGGUUAAGCUCAACACAGAUUGAGUUGUAUUAGGUAUAAAUAAUUGGGCGUUGGUGGGAGGUGUAUUUAGGGAUGCGGAUGAGAGAUGGUUUUGUGGGUUUUCAAUGGUGGUGAGCAAGGAAUCAAUUUUUCAGAUUGAAACACGUGCCAUACAUGAAGGUCUGAGCAUAGCAUGGGAGAAAGUAUUCAGGCAAGGCAAGUAUAACUUGAACGUGAUAAUGCACUUUUAGUGGAGAGUCUGCUAGCUGGUAGAGCUGAUUCUAGUAAGUUGGUUGAAUUACAUUUAAUUAGUUGCCUUCUCAAACGAAAUUGGAGAAUAAGAAUUCGCCAUAUUCAAAGGUCGCAAAAUAUGAUCAAAUGACUAAGUACGCAAAUAAUGAAGUGUCAAAGCUUGUACUGUUCAUGGAUCCACCAAGUUAUACACGGAGCUCUGCAUACUUAUAAAAAUGCGAGUAUAACGGGUUGAUUGUUAUCGUUAUUACUUAA